GAUGAACGCUGGCGGCGUGCUUAACACAUGCAAGUCGAACGAUGAAAGCGGGAGCUUGCUCCUGCUGGAUUAGUGGCGAACGGGUGAGUAACACGUGAGUAACCUGCCCUUGACUCUGGGAUAAGCGUUGGAAACGACGUCUAAUACCGGAUACGACCUUCGGAGGCAUCUCCUGGGGGUGGAAAGAAUUUCGGUCAAGGAUGGCCUCGCGGCCUAUCAGCUAGUUGGUGAGGUAAUGGCUCACCAAGGCGACGACGGGUAGCCGGCCUGAGAGGGUGACCGGGCCACACUGGGACUGAGACACGGCCCAGACUCCUACGGGAGGCAGCAGUGGGGAAUAUUGCACAAUGGGCGCAAGCCUGAUGCAGCAACGCCGCGUGAGGGACGACGGCCUUCGGGUUGUAAACCUCUUUUAGUAGGGAAGAAGCGAAGUAGACGGUACCUGCAGAAAAGCAACCGGCUAACUACGUGCCAGCAGCCGCGGU
rnacentral:rRNA from 1 species